rnacentral:rRNA from 1 species
CCGCCCGUCACACCACGAGAGUUUGUAACACCCGAAGUCGGUGGGGUAACCUUUUGGAGCCAGCCGCCUAAGGUGGGACAGAUGAUUGGGGUGAAGUCGUAACAAGGUAGCCGUAUCGGAAGGUGCGGCUGGAUCACCUCCUUU